UUUUUGAAAAUAUUUCCUGCAGGAAGCAAGAAAUGAGAAGAGUACAGAUUUGGCACCUACUCCUGCCCCACAGAGCACACCACGAAAUACUAUCUCGCAGUCAACCUCUGGAGACCCUGAAAUAGACAAAAAAAUCAAGAACCUAAAGAAGAAACUGAAAGCAAUCGAACAACUGAAAGAACAAGCAGCAGCUGGAAAACAGCUCGAAAAAAAUCAGUUGGAGAAAAUUCAAAAAGAGAAAGCCCUUCUCCAGGAGCUGGAAGAUUUGGAAUUGGGUAUUUAAAGAUUCACAGAGAGCAAGUUGUUACCAGAAAUCAGUGCAAACACAUUUUCUGUUAAACCCAUUGGUGGACAUGAAAUAUCCAUGUGCCCACAUUUAAUUUUCAUCUAUAAUUUUAACCAUUUAUCCAAGAUUCUGCAUAUGUGUGAAGUUACUUAAUAAUGUCUGUUAAAUUGAUUUUUACAUCCUGCAUCCUAUACCAUGUCAACACAUGAUAAAGAAAAGAAACACAUGAACUUUUUAGUAAGUUUGACAGAUUGAAAGACAGUGUCAUUGGUUUUUUUAUUAGGAGACAGUAUUUACCAUACAUGUGAAUAAAAACAUUUAAAUUUAA